GUGUGUAACUUCUCGGUGCCUCCCAAUCCCACCACACAUGUAUACUUGUUGUAUACAUUGCCUGCCUAAAAGAAACAGUUGAGGAAGAAGUGACGUCGAGCAAAUCUAAAGAGAAAAUGACAGUGUUUGCUCGCUUUAAAUACGGUUGACAAAAGAAUGCUCGCUCUAGGCGAGGCCUGUGCAGUGCUUUAAAGGCAAAGAAAAGUGAACCACUGUGCUUGCCAAAAGAAAAAAGGGUCUGAAAUGUUUUUCAACUAUAUUAAUUAUGGCACACCGUGAAAAAUGGAAAAUGGGCUGCGCUCCAACCCUUCCUGCGAAAUAGGCACUCCCAGGAUCUGUGGAGGGGUGUGCGAAAGAGGAACUCAGUGGAAGAUUGUUGGAACCAAGUUCACGUGACGAGUUGACGGGCUGAAAGACGUCGGACCUUCGGUUAGCCUUUACCACCACAAGACACAAGUCACAACUGCAACAUGUCAAGAGGUGAGCGAGUUCGUCAGAAAAGGCUCUCGUAGGAGAAUUUUUUUUUUUUAAGGGCCAGCAGGUGGAGCUGCUGCUUCAUUAAAGGAGGAGAACGACAGUACAAAUACAGGUUAGCUCGAGCAGAGCAUUACCAAGGAACAAAAGAAGAACAAAAAGAAAAUAAAAACAGGAACAAAGCAGAGAAAAGCCUAAUCUCGCGACAUGGGAAACCUUCUUCUUGAGCUGGACCAUAGGGUGAUGGCGUCCAAGAUACGUCGCACGAGCUGUCCAGCCCAGAGUUCAACCUCCCGGAAGAUACGUCGGCUGCGCUCGAGCCAGAUUUCCCAGAGUGUAAGGAGGGCCAUCGUCUUUAGCCAAUGGCGGCCAUGCCCAGCAAUCGAGAGGCCCUGGAACCAGUCGAACGGCGUCGCGGGGAGCCGCCAGGCGCCUGGACGGAAGGAUGGAGCUGCCAUCU
rnacentral:lncRNA from 1 species